AACGAACGCUGGCGGCGUGCCUAACACAUGCAAGUCGAACGAACCCUUCGGGGUUAGCGGCGGACGGGUUAGUAACGCGUGGGAAUAUACCCUUUGGUACGGAAUAGCCUCGGGAAACUGAGAGUAAUACCGUAUGUGCCCUUCGGGGAAGAUUUAUCGCCAAAGGAUUAGCCCGCGUUGGAUUAGAUAGUUGGUGGGGUAAUGGCCUACCAAGUCUACGAUCCAUAGCUGGUUUGAGAGGAUGAUCAGCAACACUGGGACUGAGACACGGCCCAGACUCCUACGGGAGGCAGCAGUGGGGAAUCUUAGACAAUGGGCGCAAGCCUGAUCUAGCCAUGCCGCGUGGACGAUGAAGGCCUUAGGGUUGUAAAGUCCUUUCAGAUGGGAAGACAAUGACGGUACCAUCAGAAGAAGCCCCGGCUAACUCCGUGCCAGCAG
rnacentral:rRNA from 1 species